rnacentral:rRNA from 1 species
AUUAAACGCUGGCGGCAUGCCUUACACAUGCAAGUCGAACGGCAGCACGGGGGCAACCCUGGUGGCGAGUGGCGGACGGGUGAGUAAAGCAUCGGAACGUAUCCUGGAGUGGGGGAUAACGUAGCGAAAGUUACGCUAAUACCGCAUAUUCUGUGAGCAGGAAAGCAGGGGAUCGCAAGACCUUGCGCUCUGGGAGCGGCCGAUGUCGGAUUAGCUAGUUGGUGGGGUAAAGGCCUACCAAGGCGACGAUCCGUAGCGGGUCUGAGAGGAUGAUCCGCCACACUGGGACUGAGACACGGCCCAGACUCCUACGGGAGGCAGCAGUGGGGAAUUUUGGACAAUGGGCGGAAGCCUGAUCCAGCCAUGCCGCGUGAGUGAAGAAGGCCUGGUUGUAAGACUCUUCGGUCGGGGAAGGAAAGUUAGCACGGGUUAAGUACCCUACGUGUAGGAUGACGGUACCCGAACGUAA